GUUUCUCCGUGUCUAGGGGAAUCAUUCCAUAAUAAGGUUGUGAACCCCUUCUUUCCAUUGUCUGUGAUUGACUUGGGGACAUCAUACUGUGCUCUAUCUCUCACUCCCUCGUUUGUACGACGUGGCGUGCUCGAUUUUUUUUUUUUUUUUUAACUGCGGAUUUAAAACGCAGCCAGAGAGCUGGGUGAAGAGCUCGGCUCCCCAGGGCGUAAUAGAAUUAAACUGCAAUCCACCCUCCUCCCCCUUCCCAUUCACAGCCCGGCUGCUGCAGAACCGCCUUGCUGGCUCCAUCCUUGUUUUCUCCUGUCCAGUCCUCCCAGAGAAAGUGACGGUACAGCCUAUGAGAACUGGAGCUAAAACGGACAUGGGCAGAGUGCAAGAGGAAACCAGAGCCAUUCAACUAUUACUAGAGAGGAAUCGCUGUAGAAAAACGUGCAAAAUAGGCGCAAACACUGCGUCGUCAAGGCUGCGAUUUCUGAUACAAAAUAAAAGGUUCUCAUAGCAACAGAAACGUGCCCAUGUUGUGCUCAGAAUUACAUACGUUCAUAUGUUCCUAGUUGUAAAAUUUUGACAUAACCUCAGGUUAAAAUUAUAAUGGAAGUUUUAAAUUCUGCUUUCCUGAAACUUUGCAGCUAUAGCAUGGUGUUAAAUUGUUAUUUAUCAAUAAGCUUACCUAUUAGGAUACUUUAAAAAAAAAAGCUUUGAAUA
rnacentral:lncRNA from 1 species